GAAACGACUGCUAAGACUGGAUAGGAGACAAGAAGGCAUCUUUUUGUUUUUAAAAGACCUAGCAAUAGGUAUGCUUAGGGAGGAGCUUGCGUCACAUUAGUUAGUUGGUGGGGUAAAGGCUUACCAAGACUAUGAUGUGUAGCCGGGCUGAGAGGUUGAACGGCCACAUUGGGACUGAGACACGGCCCAAACUCCUACGGGAGGCAGCAGUAGGGAAUUUUCGGCAAUGGAGGAAACUCUGACCGAGCAACGCCGCGUGAACGAUGAAGUAUUUCGGUACGUAAAGUUCUUUUAUUAGGGAAGAAUAAAUGAUGGAAAAAUCAUUCUGACGGUACCUAAUGAAUAAGCCCCGGCUAACUAUGUGCCAGCAGCCGCGGUAAUACAUAGGGGGCAAGCGUUAUCCGGAAUUAUUGGGCGUAAAGGGUGCGUAGGCGGUUAAAUAAGUUUAUGGUCUAAGUGCAAUGCUUAACAUUGUGAUGCUAUAAAAACUGUUUAACUAGAGUAAGAUAGAGGCAAGUGGAAUUCCAUGUGUAGUGGUAAAAUGCGUAAAUAUAUGGAGGAACACCAGUAGCGAAGGCGGCUUGCUGGGUCUUUACUGACGCUGAGGCACGAAAGCGUGGGGAGCAAACAGGAUUAGAUACCCUGGUAGUCCACGCCGUAAACGAUGAGUACUAAAUGUUGGGUAAAACCAGUGUUGAAGUUAACACAUUAAGUACUCCGCCUGAGUAGUACGUACGCAAGUAUGAAACUUAAAGGAAUUGACGGGACUCCGCACAAGCGGUGGAUCAUGUUGUUUAAUUCGAAGGUACCCGAAAAACCUCACCAGGUCUUGACAUGCUUCUGCAAAGCUGUAGAAACACAGUGGAGGUUACCAGUUGCACAGGUGGUGCAUGGUUGUCGUCAGCUCGUGUCGUGAGAUGUUGGGUUAAGUCCCGCAACGAGCGCAACCCUUAUUGUUAGUUGCCAGCACGUAAUGGUGGGGACUUUAGCAAGACUGCCAGUGAUAAAUUGGAGGAAGGUGGGGACGACGUCAAAUCAUCAUGCCCCUUAUGACCUGGGCCACAAACGUGAUACAAUGGCUGUUACAAAGGGUAGCUGAAACGCAAGUUUUUGGCGAAUCUCAAAAAAACAGUCUCAGUUCGGAUUGAAGUCUGCAACUCGACUUCAUGAAGUUGGAAUCGCUAGUAAUCGCGAAUCAGCAUGUCGCGGUGAAUACGUUCUCGGGGUUUGUACACACCGCCCGUCA
rnacentral:rRNA from 1 species